CAUAAUCAACAUAAACUAUUGUAUUUAAAUAUAAAAUAACUAAAAACCUUGACUUAAAUUAAUAACGUUUAGCAUGCCUUUUAGCCCUAUUAUGCCCUAGAAAUCAACACAUAAUUCCCUCAAAAUAUAAAUCCAUAAAUCAUGUAUUACAUUAGUAGCUUAAUUCAAUAAUGUAAUAGUGAAAGUCUGCAUCAGUUAUCAGAACUCAACGGUUUAAUAGUUAACAUUUAUUAAAACCGUGUUUGUUUAAAUGCCUUUUUUUUUUUUUUUUGAAAUGUUUCUCAGCUUGUUUUCAGAUCAAACCCACUCCUGUGCACUUUGCUCUGGUUGAGGCUCUGCAGUGUGAAUGUCGGCCUAUAUAAAGCUCUGCUUGAAGCCUCUUGUUUGAUUCUAAACCCUGAACGUGAUGAGUUCUCACGGCAGACAGUAAAUACCUGAAAAAAUGACAGAAUGCACAGCCCUCUUCCAGACAGUGUUUGCUUGUAAUAUCCUGAUUUUGCUCUUCAGUGGAUUUGUGAACAUUAUUCUCAGUGGAAGACUGAGAAGAACAAAAUGUAAACUGUGUUCAGGUAAAUCACAGUUUAAUCCUUUUACUCACU